AUGAACCUUUGAGGGUGAGCUGGCGUUUAUUCGCAUGUGCUUGCCCUCUCAUCACUUUAUACACCUGUGCAACUUUUGAAGGGUAGACAUUAGUAGACAUUCCACUUGUCGAAGGUUAUCUCCUCUUUACACUACAUACUCUAAUGAUUACUUUGAAUGUAUUAAAACGCUUAACAGCAUUUAAUUA
rnacentral:misc_RNA from 1 species